rnacentral:rRNA from 1 species
UACAGAGGUCUCAAGCGUUGUUCGGAUUCAUUGGGCGUAAAGGGUGCGUAGGCGGCGCGGUAAGUCGGAUGUGAAAUCUCGGAGCUUAACUCCGAAACUGCAUUCGAUACUUCCGUGCUUGAGGACUGGAGAGGAGACUGGAAUUUACGGUGUAGCGGUGAAAUGCGUAGAUAUCGUAAGGAAGACCAGUGGCGAAGGCGGGUUUCUGGACAGUUCCUGACGCUGAGGCACGAAGGCCAGGGGAGCAAACGGG